UACGAGAGGCCCAAACGUUAUUCGGAUUUACUGGGCUUAAAGAGUUCGUAGGCGGUUCGUCAAGUGAGGUGUGAAAGCCCUCGGCUCAACCGAGGAGUUGCGCUUCAAACUGUCGGGCUCGAGGGAGAUAGAGGUGAGCGGAACUGAUGGUGGAGCGGUGAAAUGCGUUGAUAUCAUCAGGAACACCAGAGGCGAAGGCGGCUCACUGGGUCUCUUCUGACGCUGAGGAACGAAAGCUAGGGGAGCAAACGGG
rnacentral:rRNA from 1 species